UACGUAGGGUGCGAGCGUUAAUCGGAAUUACUGGGCGUAAAGCGUGCGCAGGCGGUUCGUUGUGUCGGCGGUGAAAUCCCCGGGCUCAACCUGGGAAUGGCCGUUGAAACUGGCGGACUGGAGUGUGGCAGAGGGGGGUGGAAUUCCGCGUGUAGCAGUGAAAUGCGUAGAGAUGCGGAGGAACACCGAUGGCGAAGGCAGCCCCCUGGGCUGACACUGACGCUCAGGCACGAAAGCGUGGGGAGCAAACAGG
rnacentral:rRNA from 1 species